GACGAACGCUGGCGGCGUGCUUAACACAUGCAAGUCGAACGGAAAGGCCCUGCUUUUGUGGGGUGCUCGAGUGGCGAACGGGUGAGUAACACGUGAGUAACCUGCCCUUGACUUUGGGAUAACUUCAGGAAACUGGGGCUAAUACCGGAUAGGAGCUCCUGCUGCAUGGUGGGGGUUGGAAAGUUUCGGCGGUUGGGGAUGGACUCGCGGCUUAUCAGCUUGUUGGUGGGGUAGUGGCUUACCAAGGCUUUGACGGGUAGCCGGCCUGAGAGGGUGACCGGCCACAUGGGGACUGGGAUACGGCCCAGACUCCUACGGGAGGCAGCAGUGGGGAAUAUGGCACAAUGGGCGGAAGCCUGAUGCAGCAACGCCGCGGGCGGGAUGACGGCCUUCGGGUUGUAAACCGCUUUCGCCUGUGACGAAGCGUGAGUGACGGUAAUGGGUAAAGAAGCACCGGCUAACUACGU
rnacentral:rRNA from 1 species